UACGGGGGGAGCAAGCGUUGUUCGGAUUUACUGGGCGUAAAGGGCGCGUAGGCGGUAAGCACAAGUCAGUUGUGAAAUCUCCGGGCUUAACUCGGAAAGGUCAACUGAUACUGUGCGACUAGAGUGCAGAAGGGGCAACUGGAAUUCUCGGUGUAGCGGUGAAAUGCGCAGAUAUCGGGAGGAACACCGGUGGCGAAGGCGGUUCUCUGGGCCUUACCUGACGCUGAGGAGCGAAAGCGUGGGGAGCGAACAGG
rnacentral:rRNA from 1 species